rnacentral:rRNA from 1 species
GACGAACGCUGGCGGCGUGCUUAACACAUGCAAGUCGAACGGAAAGGCCCUGCUUUUGUGGGGUGCUCGAGUGGCGAACAGGUGAGUAACACGUGAGUAACCUGCCCUUGACUUUGGGAUAACUUCAGGAAACUGGGGCUAAUACCGGAUAGGAGCUCCUGCUGCAUGGUGGGGGUUGAAAAGUUUCGGCGGUUGGGGAUGGACUCGCGGCUUAUCAGCUUGUUGGUGGGGUAGUGGCUUACCAAGGCUUUGACGGGUAGCCGGCCUGAGAGGGUGACCGGCCACAUUGGGACUGAGAUACGGCCCAGACUCCUACGGGAGGCAGCAGUGGGGAAUAUUGCACAAUGGGCGGAAGCCUGAUGCAGCAACGCCGCGUGCGGGAUGACGGCCUUCGGGUUGUAAACCGCUUUCGCCUGUGACGAAGCGUGAGUGACGGUAAUGGGUAAAGAAGCACCGGCUAACUACGUG